rnacentral:rRNA from 1 species
CUGGGAGGACCAUCUCCUAAGGCUAAAUACUCUCUAGUGACCGAUAGUGAACCAGUACCGUGAGGGAAAGGUGAAAAGCACCCCGGAAGGGGAGUGAAAUAGAACCUGAAACCGUGUGCUUACAAGUAGUCAGAGCCCGUUAAUGGGUGAUGGCGUGCCUUUUGUAGAAUGAACCGGCGAGUUACGAUUUGAUGCAAGGUUAAGCAGUAAAUGUGGAGCCGUAGCGAAAGCGAGUCUGAAUAGGGCGUUUAGUAUUUGGUCGUAGACCCGAAACCAGGUGAUCUACCCUUGGUCAGGUUGAAGUUCAGGUAACACUGAAUGGAGGACCGAACCGACUUACGUUGAAAAGUGAGCGGAUGAACUGAGGGUAGCGGAGAAAUUCCAAUCGAACCUGGAGAUAGCUGGUUCUCUCCGAAAUAGCUUUAGGGCUAGCCUCAAGUGAUGAUUAUUGGAGGUAGAGCACUGUUUGGACGAGGGGCCCCUCUCGGGUUACCGAAUUCAGACAAACUCCGAAUGCCAAUUAAUUUAACUUGGGAGUCAGAACAUGGGUGAUAAGGUCCGUGUUCGAAAGGGAAACAGCCCAGACCACCAGCUAAGGUCCCAAAAUAUAUGUUAAGUGGAAAAGGAUGUGGCGUUGCCCAGACAACUAGGAUGUUGGCUUAGAAGCAGCCAUCAUUUAAAGAGUGCGUAAUAGCUCACUAGUCGAGUGACACUGCGCCGAAAAUGUACCGGGGCUAAACAUAUUACCGAAGCUGUGGAUUGUCCUUUGGACAAUGGUAGGAGAGCGUUCUAAGGGCGUUGAAGCAUGAUCGUAAGGACAUGUGGAGCGCUUAGAAGUGAGAAUGCCGGUGUGAGUAGCGAAAGACGGGUGAGAAUCCCGUCCACCGAUUGACUAAGGUUUCCAGAGGAAGGCUCGUCCGCUCUGGGUUAGUCGGGUCCUAAGCUGAGGCCGACAGGCGUAGGCGAUGGAUAACAGGUUGAUAUUCCUGUACCACCUAUAAUCGUUUUAAUCGAUGGGGGGGACGCAGUAGGAUAGGCGAAGCGUGCGAUUGGAUUGCACGUCUAAGCAGUAAGGCUGAGUAUUAGGCAAAUCCGGUACUCGUUAAGGCUGAGCUGUGAUGGGGAGAAGACAUUGUGUCUUCGAGUCGUUGAUUUCACACUGCCGAGAAAAGCCUCUAGAUAGAAAAUAGGUGCCCGUACCGCAAACCGACACAGGUAGUCAAGAUGAGAAUUCUAAGGUGAGCGAGCGAACUCUCGUUAAGGAACUCGGCAAAAUGACCCCGUAACUUCGGGAGAAGGGGUGCUCUUUAGGGUUAACGCCCAGAAGAGCCGCAGUGAAUAGGCCCAAGCGACUGUUUAUCAAAAACACAGGUCUCUGCUAAACCGUAAGGUGAUGUAUAGGGGCUGACGCCUGCCCGGUGCUGGAAGGUUAAGAGGAGUGGUUAGCUUCUGCGAAGCUACGAAUCGAAGCCCCAGUAAACGGCGGCCGUAACUAUAACGGUCCUAAGGUAGCGAAAUUCCUUGUCGGGUAAGUUCCGACCCGCACGAAAGGCGUAACGAUUUGGGCACUGUCUCAACGAGAGACUCGGUGAAAUCAUAGUACCUGUGAAGAUGCAGGUUACCCGCGACAGGACGGAAAGACCCCGUGGAGCUUUACUGUAGCCUGAUAUUGAAAUUCGGCACAGCUUGUACAGGAUAGGUAGGAGCCUUUGAAACGUGAGCGCUAGCUUACGUGGAGGCGCUGGUGGGAUACUACCCUAGCUGUGUUGGCUUUCUAACCCGCACCACUUAUCGUGGUGGGAGACAGUGUCAGGCGGGCAGUUUGACUGGGGCGGUCGCCUCCUAAAAGGUAACGGAGGCGCUCAAAGGUUCCCUCAGAAUGGUUGGAAAUCAUUCAUAGAGUGUAAAGGCAUAAGGGAGCUUGACUGCGAGACCUACAAGUCGAGCAGGGUCGAAAGACGGACUUAGUGAUCCGGUGGUUCCGCAUGGAAGGGCCAUCGCUCAACGGAUAAAAGCUACCCCGGGGAUAACAGGCUUAUCUCCCCCAAGAGUUCACAUCGACGGGGAGGUUUGGCACCUCGAUGUCGGCUCAUCGCAUCCUGGGGCUGUAGUCGGUCCCAAGGGUUGGGCUGUUCGCCCAUUAAAGCGGUACGCGAGCUGGGUUCAGAACGUCGUGAGACAGUUCGGUCCCUAUCCGUCGUGGGCGUAGGAAAUUUGAGAGGAGCUGUCCUUAGUACGAGAGGACCGGGAUGGACAUACCUCUGGUGUACCAGUUGUCGUGCCAACGGCAUAGCUGGGUAGCUAUGUGUGGACGGGAUAAGUGCUGAAAG